AUGGCGAUGACUCAUGAAGAAGAGCUGUCCGAGCUGGCUGCCAAGGUAACGGUCUACGCGUUCUGCGCGGCCGUCAUCCUCGCCUUCAUCGCUGACCAGGCCUGUGCCGGCGGUUGGGGCUGCGCCCCGGCCCACGUCGUGUCGGUGAUAUGGGACAACCUAGCCAUACUCGUCCUGCUUCUCUUGCCGCUUGCGGUCGUGCUCUUCUUCCUCCGCGCCGCCAGCUGCAGCAGCAGGGCCCCGGACGCUGACAGUCUCAGCGUCAAGGAUGUUGAGGAGCGACCUUCUGACCUUUCCUUGCCUCUUCUGUUGCUUUUGAUUGUGGCGAUACUCGGAGCCCUCUCUUUCGCUUUUUACAUGUAUGGAUAUCCAGACUUGUCCAAUCUUUACGGCCACAUGGCUCUCUUGGUCAUUUUCCUGUGUGAAGCCUUCGUCUAUGUUCGUGCUGCACUGUCGCUGUGGAAGAUGAAGAUGAACCCCACUCCCAAGCCCAGCAACAUGGUGGCUGCAGAGUAA
rnacentral:rRNA from 1 species